UGAAAUCAUAGCGAUCGGCGUGCCCGGUGGGCCU
rnacentral:sRNA from 1 species